UUUCUCCUUAGUUUCAAAGGAUACAGUUUUCGCCACUUCACAACAUCAACAAGAACAAGAUGAUCAGAAAAAAGGCACUUUUUUUUCUGUUGUUGUCAGGUGAGUAUAUACAUAUACAUAUAUAUGAUACAUGUAGACAAUUGGACAUACUUCAAUGUUAGUUUAUGGGGUAUUAAUCUUUUAAUAAAUAAAGGGUAUCUAGUUAGCUGUUUUUAAAGGACUAGUUGCAGAUCCAGAUCUGUAAUUAUUCUUCAGAGCCAAAUAUAUUGCUGUAGUGGAAAUAUUGGGUACUUUAACAUAUGAAGCUAUAUUGAGAGACUUUGUUGUGUUUAUGUAUGUUGAUGCUAUAUUGAAGGAAAUUAGAUCCAUUUGUUGGUAUUUUGUAGAUCUUUGAUUAUUUUAUUCCUAUUAUUUCAUUAAUGGUUUUUGCAUUGCAGAUAGGCAAAGAAGCACUCUUACAGAGAAAUGAGUAGUUUUAGGUUUUGUUUCUUUAUGGAAUUUGAUGAUAUCAAAUAACUAGGUUGCUGCAAAUUGGUUCUUUCCUCCAUAUCUUUGUCUUCAAAUAGAAAUUUUAAGGGGAUUCUUCCAAGUGGAUUUUUGUCUUAAAGAAUUAGUAGAUAUUGUUGAAUAUUGGAAGCUUUCAAGAUCAUAAAUGGUGUAGUAACUAGUAAUUAUGGGACACUGCCAUUGGUCUUUUUUUUUUUUUGUUUAUUUAAUAUUGUUAGUGGAUCCUUAAAACAUUUUAUCUAUCUCUAUUCAGUUCAUAGUUUCUAAAAUUUGCUUCCUUCAGUCAUGAAAAUGAUAAUCCACUCUAGAAAUUUAUGGAUAUAUAUAUGAGCCCUCAAUCGCUUUCUAAGCUUUUAUACUUAUAUUCUCUGCUACAUGCAUUAAGGGUUUUUCUCUUAGUUCAUAAAAGGAAAAGAAAAUAAUAGGUACUUUUUUCCGAGUGUAGCAUCAUCAAGCUUAACAUGCAAAUGCAUGGAGGUGAUGAAAAAUUAUCUUGCUCGGCCUCUUUGUUUUUUCGUGUUUGAUGCUGGUGUACGAUACACCAAUAUGAGAAUAUGACCUCGAAAAGUCCUUCAAAUGUAUAGAAAAAUAUAGAAAAACUAAUUAUAUCUAUAUUAAACACAUGUACAUAUUCAAUAGUCACACUGAAAUUCAAUAUACAUAUUGAAUACUCUCACCCGAACUCAAAUAACUUAGGUAAAAAAUUUGAAAUUUGAUAACUUUUGUUGCAAAAGUACUUUGAAAUUGAGAAUCUUGAUGAUGCUCCACCGGCAAUAAACGACUACAGAAAAGAGAGGGAAAAAAAGACCCUUUAAUCUUUUCCCCUUUUUUUCUCAGUUUAAAGUUACCCACUUUGCACUUCACAGCAUCAGCAAGGACAAGAUGAGAGAAGACUCUCUGUUGUUGUCAGGUGGUAUGUGUAUAUAUAUAAAUAAAUUUGAUGCAUAUAUUCAUACUUCAAUGUUAAUGUUUGGGGGUAUUUUUCUUUAAUAAUAAUAAAGGGUAUCUGAAUAUCUCCAUAAGUAAUGUUUUAUUUGUUUUUUUUUUACAUUGCAGGGUAAGGUAAUAGUGUCUUAAAAAAAGUGCUUUGUUGUGUUAUAUUUGUACAUUGCAGAUGUAAUGAGCUUUUACUAAAGCCAACAAGGUGGUUUGCUGAUGUUUCCAUCCCAUGAGAGUGCUUUGGAGUUGGAGGUGAGAGAAAUGGGGUUUUUUUAGAUUUGCUUAUGGGAUUUUGAUGAUAUUCAGAUGAAUAGGUUACUGCAAGUUCUUUGGUUCUGGAAAUUAGUAGAUAUUGUUGAAUAUUGGAAACUUCAAUGUGGAAGAGAAGAUAUAUAUAUGUAUGUAUGCGGUUCUUCGCUUCAGUUUGCUUAUAGGCCUUCUUACAUAUUGUUGAAUAUUUCAUGCACUAGCAGACUAGUUUACCAAAUAUCUGCAAAGGGGGUUGAUUGAUGUAUUUAGUAAUUGCUUGAUCCUUUAGUGUUAAAAAAGUGAAGUAUAAAUAGAUGAAUGGAUAUUAGAAAAUUGAAGUCUCUGCAUCAUUGAGAUUGACGGUCUCCAUUCAAGAUUUUCUCUCUUUGUUACUUCAAAAGAUAGAUAGCCAUGGAUGCAUGAAUAUGUACUGGUUCCAGCUAGUACACACUUGUGCAGUUGUACACGUAUCCACUUGUUUCUCCUAAACUUAUGCACCUAUACAUAUACACUGAUAUACACUGCUUUGAUCCUUGUCUUAAUAAUGAAUUGCUGGAGAUUACGUUUUUGCAGGUAGGUUUAAUUAAUCAAAUAUUGUUACUAUGAGUUUUAUUUUGUUUGGAGUCAACCGCGUUGACCGAUAGAGGUUCACCCAUCAUGAAGGAACCUCGCCAACUUACAUCAAAGAUUUACUUAGAAUACAGUCUAUGAAGACAAGACCUUCCAUAAACUCUAAGCAAACGUGCUGAAGAUCAGUCAUGACUUAGCAGCUUACUGCAAGAACCUUGACAUCUGGCUCCUCCACCACCACUUCAAACCUAUAACUUCCCCUUAGCUAAGAACCAUUGACAAGAGACUUCCGUUGUUGUUACUCUGCCGAAUUUCCCUCAGAUUUCACCUUUCUACAACUUCCAGCACAACUGUGUCAACCGUCUUCAACCACUCCCUGGUAUCAACACACACACAUAUAUAUAUUUUAUUUGUGUUCUGUACUACAUGAGUCAUGUUUGGGCUGUCAAAGACAAAAACCUAUAUAGUUAUCACAUGGUAAUGGAAUUUGAUUUGUUAACCACUCCUAACAUAUGCCUUAGUUCAGUUGGUAUGAUGUCAUUGUUACAUCGUUGAAACAUGCUUAAACAAGCUCACUUGCUUGAUCAAGCAAGCAACCAAUGGUCAUACACCGGACAACUCAAACAAUAG
rnacentral:lncRNA from 1 species